rnacentral:rRNA from 1 species
AUUGAACGCUGGCGGCAUGCCUUACACAUGCAAGUCGAACGGCAGCACGGGAGCAAUCCUGGUGGCGAGUGGCGGACGGGUGAGUAAUAUAUCGGAACGUGCCCAGUCGUGGGGGAUAACGUAGCGAAAGCUACGCUAAUACCGCAUACGAUCUAUGGAUGAAAGCGGGGGAUCGCAAGACCUCGCGCGAUUGGAGCGGCCGAUAUCAGAUUAGGUAGUUGGUGAGGUAAAGGCUCACCAAGCCGACGACCUGUAGCUGGUCUGAGAGGACGACCAGCCACACUGGGACUGAGACACGGCCCAGACUCCUACGGGAGGCAGCAGUGGGGAAUUUUGGACAAUGGGCGCAAGCCUGAUCCAGCAAUGCCGCGUGCAGGAUGAAGGCCUUCGGGUUGUAAACUGCUUUUGUACGGAACGAAACGGCGAGCUCUAAUACAGUUUGCUAAUGACGGUACCGUAAGAAUAAGCACCGGCUAACUACGUGCCAGCAGCCGCAGUAA